rnacentral:rRNA from 1 species
GACAGAGGCCUCAAGCGUUAGGCGGAAUCACUGGGCUUAAAGCGUGUGUAGGCGGACUUCUAAGUGCCUUGUGAAAUCCCACGGCUCAACCGUGGAACUGCCGGGCAUACUGGGAGUCUUGGGCCAUUCAGGGGCAACUGGAACAAGCGGUGGAGCGGUGAAAUGCGCAGAUAUCAGGAGGAACACCGAUGGCGAAGGCAGGUCUCUGGGCAUUAACUGACGCUGAGGAGCGAAAGCAUGGGGAGCGAACAGG